rnacentral:rRNA from 1 species
GCCCGAUUAGCUUGUUGGUGAGGUAACGGCUCACCAAGGCUAUGAUCGGUAGCCGGUCUGAGAGGAUGGCCGGCCACACUGGAACUGAGACACGGUCCAGACUCCUACGGGAGGCAGCAGUGGGGAAUCUUGCGCAAUGGGCGAAAGCCUGACGCAGCAACGCCGCGUGGGGGAUGAAGCCUUUCGGAGUGUAAACCCCUUUCGACCCGGAUGAAUCCCCGCAAGGGAUUGACAGUACGGGUAUAAGAAGCCCCGGCUAACUACGUGCCAGCAGCCGCGGUAAAACGUAGGGGGCCAGCGUUGCUCGGAAUUACUGGGCGUAAAGGGUCUGUAGGCGGUGCGGCAAGUCGGAAGUGAAAUCUCAGGGCUUAACCCUGAGGCUGCUCCCGAAACUGCUGUGCUCGAGUGCGAGAGAGGCGAGUGGAAUUGCAGGUGUAGCGGUGAAAUGCGUAGAUAUCUGCAGGAACAUCCGAGGCGAAAGCGGCUCGCUGGAUCGCAACUGACGCUGAGAGACGAAAGCUAGGGGAGCA